GUGUAGCAGGAUAGCUCAACCAGUACAGCAAGAGACUCUUAAUCUCAGGGUUGUGGGUUUGUGUCCCAUGUUGGACA